rnacentral:lncRNA from 1 species
CUAACUGCAAAAGCACAUUCCAUCCUCUCCACAACAAUUUAUGCUAUGGCAGACUAGAAACAUCCGGUAGCGAAAAUACACUUUGUGUGAUAACACAUGAUGUCACGCCUCAUUCCCGACAUAUCUCCAAGAUCAAUGUGCAACGGUUGGAAAUUCUUAAAUACAAGUAAAGUGGUGGGUUCUCUGUCACAAAUACAACAAAUUACAACAAAGCUACAAGCUCGUAGGCUCUAAAAAAGAAAGUCCAUACAAUGAAAGAUAUAGGGGUAACCUAACACUCCAAGCUUUCUAACCUUUGUUCGUUACCCCAAGGGCUCCUUGUAUCAACUAAGCUUUGUCACCUGCAUAAGUGCCCCUGCACUAUGGGAAUCGUGCAUCGGGCAAAUCAACAACUUGGAUAAACUGCGAAGCUCUUAUGAGUGACAAUAAUCCGACAUAUGUGAUAAUAAAAAACUAGUCCAUCAAUCACAAUUUGUAAACAACAUUCAUAAAAUCAUAAACAAUUCACUAAAAACAUUGAAAGAGUCACCCAGACAUCCAUCAGCCUUUCUAAAUCAAACCACAAAGGUUAUCAAAUCUAUGUUUCAUAAAUGCACUAAAAACUAGGGCUAUAGUGACUCAGUUCAAUCGAAGCCUAUAUUUCUAAGCUUUCAUAUUCUAUACUGAAUCCAUGGGAUCAACGAACCAACAAAGACAAGGGAUGCAAUUUUGGACAACUUAACGAAAUCUAACGAAAAACAGGUUUUGGACCACUCAACGGAACUAAAAAGGAUAUCAUUCCGAACCACUCAACGGUAUUGCAAAGUAGGAGGGAUUCCAUACCACUCAACAAAUCCAUACAAAGUAGGGAACUAGACCACUCAACUAAACCUAGGUCUGGACCACUCAACAGAAUUGAGCAGAAUCCAAGGAACGUAACUCAAAACAGUUCAAUAAAACAAGACAUGGUACAAGGUUUGAUGCAAAAACUCCCCAUCCUCUACUAGCCCUCUCGUUUCAUAAACAUUUCAAACCACAUUUCAUAAACAUUUCAAAUAUGCAAGUCAAAUCACAUUUCAUAAAAGUAGAUCAAUGGCUUAAUAUAAAAGUAAUAUUUAGUAGAAAACACAUUUAUGAAACCAUGCUAUAUCUACUAAGUAUACUAGCAUGGGGAUUUCAUGGGUAAUCACCAUAUUACAUAUAUUAAAGUCACUCACAUGGAGUUCACACUUCAGCUCCUAGAACAAAUAUCAAGGCGCCAAGUACAAUCGUCGCUUAAAACAAAGUACAAUUCUCAUCGUCAGAUAUCUAGUGAUAAAACACAUAAUCUUAGGUCGUAGACAUCCUCUUGGACAUUCUAGAUGGAUUCGGAACACGUUGAUCAAAAGUCAACCGUCGAUCAAUGGUCAAUGAUAGGGUUGACAACACUACGUAAUUUAAUCCGGAAGAUCCGCCCAUCGGAUUUCUGAUCCAUAACUUUCUAAAGGUCACAUUAUGAUUCAAGAACAACAACAACAACAACAACAAAGCCUUUUCCCACUAAGUGGGGUCGGCUAUAUGAAUCCUAGAACGCCAUUGCGCUCAUUUGUGUCAUGUCCUCCGUUAGAUCCAAGUACUCAAGUCUUUUCUUAGGGUCUCUCCCAAAGUUUUCCUAGGUCUUCCUCUACUCCUUCGGCCCUGAACCUCUGUCCCAUAGUCACAUUUUCGAACCGGAGCGUCAGUAGGCCUUCUUUGCACAUGUCCAAACCACCGGAACCGAUU